rnacentral:rRNA from 2 species
AUUCCGGUUGAUCCUGCCGGAGGUCAUUGCUAUUGGGGUCCGAUUUAGCCAUGCUAGUUGCACGAGUUCAUACUCGUGGCGAAAAGCUCAGUAACACGUGGCCAAACUACCCUACAGAGAACGAUAACCUCGGGAAACUGAGGCUAAUAGUUCAUACGGGAGUCAUGCUGGAAUGCCGACUCCCCGAAACGCUCAGGCGCUGUAGGAUGUGGCUGCGGCCGAUUAGGUAGACGGUGGGGUAACGGCCCACCGUGCCGAUAAUCGGUACGGGUUGUGAGAGCAAGAGCCCGGAGACGGAAUCUGAGACAAGAUUCCGGGCCCUACGGGGCGCAGCAGGCGCGAAACCUUUACACUGCACGCAAGUGCGAUAAGGGGACCCCAAGUGCGAGGGCAUAUAGUCCUCGCUUUUCACGACUGUAAGGCGGUCGUGGAAUAAGAGCUGGGCAAGACCGGUGCCAGCCGCCGCGGUAAUACCGGCAGCUCAAGUGAUGGCCGAUAUUAUUGGGCCUAAAGCGUCCGUAGCCGGCCACGAAGGUUCAUCGGGAAAUCCGCCAGCUCAACUGGCGGGCGUCCGGUGAAAACCACGUGGCUUGGGACCGGAAGGCUCGAGGGGUACGUCCGGGGUAGGAGUGAAAUCCUGUAAUCCUGGACGGACCACCGAUGGCGAAAGCACCUCGAGAAGACGGAUCCGACGGUGAGGGACGAAAGCUAGGGUCUCGAACCGGAUUAGAUACCCGGGUAGUCCUAGCUGUAAACGAUGCUCGCUAGGUGUGGCACAGGCUACGAGCCUGUGCUGUGCCGUAGGGAAGCCGAGAAGCGAGCCGCCUGGGAAGUACGUCCGCAAGGAUGAAACUUAAAGGAAUUGGCGGGGGAGCACUACAACCGGAGGAGCCUGCGGUUUAAUUGGACUCAACGCCGGACAUCUCACCAGCUCCGACUAUAGUGAUGACGAUCAGGUUGAUGACCUUAUCACGACGCUAUAGAGAGGAGGUGCAUGGCCGCCGUCAGCUCGUACCGUGAGGCGUCCUGUUAAGUCAGGCAACGAGCGAGACCCGCACUUCUAAUUGCCAGCAGCAGUUUCGACUGGCUGGGUACAU